rnacentral:snoRNA from 1 species
AAAACUACCGUUUCAGGAACCAUUUCUAAAGCAUGUUACCAGAGGUGUUUCUCAACAAAGUAAAGCUUCAGAAACCCUGAUGAUGAUCUGUGUAGUACUCUCUUCUGAGUGUGAAGUUGGCCAGCAGUGCCACCUGGUGGGCUUACUGCUUUCUUCCUUAAGAGGGAGGGAACACAGCUGAGAGGC